UCUCUCCUCUCCUCGCCUUUCUCAUCGCAAAACUCUCACAACUCUCCGAUCUCUCCCAACUGACACGCCGCCCGACCCUAGCUGCACCACACUGCCAACCCGCCACCAGUUAAACAUCGCUGGAACCUAAUCUAUGAACUUUUGCCUUCAAACUCGUCGAUAAUUAACUUUUCACAUCGAUGGUCCCUUUCUCAGAUCUAAAUCAAUUUCUCUUUGUAAAUAUAUAUUCUUGGUCUGGUUUUGAUAUUCGACAAGUGAAUAUGUGGAUUCAAACAUGAUUCUGGGACUGUACAGUUAAAUGGGUUUUUGGAAUUAAGUUUUUAGUGAUCAAAAUCUGAAAAUUGUUGAGUUUUGAGCUUUCGCGGUUGAUAUGUGACGUGGGAUUUUGCUUCUGUUGAGUUCUUAAUGCAUAUUGAACACAUAGUUCUAAUUUGAGUAACAGAAAUUGUUGUAUUAUGGUUUUUGGUAGAAGUUACAGCAAUGAAAGUUUAAUUGAGGAGUCAGGUAUUGUAAGUUCUUUUGGGAUUUGGUUUGCCUUUUGAUUCAGUCCGUUACUCCCUUUCUUGUUCUAGGUUGGAUUAAUGGAGAGCUUUUGCUUAUGAGAAUUGUGUUUGUAAGGUUCACGAGAAUUGUUUAUGUGAUG
rnacentral:lncRNA from 1 species